AUGGACCUUGACCGUAAAUUCCUGACAUUUCCUGAAGCAUGUCUGAUCAUCCUUUGAUCAGGUGGACAACGGGAUAAUCACACGUUUAUCCAACUGCACAGAUUCCACAGCCCCACGGCAGUUCACUGUCCUCUCUUUGGGCUCAGAGCAGUGAGACGAGUGAGUCAGUGGAAGUGUCAGAGCACCAAAACAGACGGACACCCCACAUAAUUAGCCUGGAGUC
rnacentral:lncRNA from 1 species